rnacentral:rRNA from 1 species
AUUGAACGCCGGCGGCAGGCUUAACACAUGCAAGUCGAGCGGGGGAAGGUAGCUUGCUACCGGACCUAGCGGCGGACGGGUGAGUAAUGCUUAGGAAUCUGCCUAUUAGUGGGGGACAACAUCUCGAAAGGGAUGCUAAUACCGCAUACGUCCUACGGGAGAAAGCAGGUGAUCUUCGGACCUUGCGCUAAUCGAUGAGCCUAAGUAGGAUUAGAUAGUUGGUGGGGUAAAGGCCUACCAAGGCGACGAGCUGUAGCGGGUCUGAGAGGAUGAUCGUCCAGACUGGGAAGGAGACACGGCCCCGACUCCUACGGGAGUCAGCAGUGGGGAAUAUUGGACAAUGGGGGGAGCCCUGAGCAAGCCAUGCCACGUGUGUGAGGAAGGCCUUAGGGUUGUAAAGCACUGUAAGCGAGGAGGAGGCUACUUUUGUUAAUACCUAAAGAUAGUGGACGUUACUCGCAGAAUAAGCACCGGCUAACUCUGUGCCAGCCGCCGCAGUAA